CCCUUAGAUGUUCUGGGCCGCACGCGUGCUACACUGAGUGGAUCAGCGGGUCAGGUUGCGCGAAAGCGUUUCCUAAUCUUUAAAUCCGCUCGUGAUGGGGAUUGACGGUUGCAAUUUUCUGUCAUGAACGAGGAAUACCUUGUAAGCGCGGGUCAUCAUCCCGCGCUGAAUACGUCCCUGCCCUUUGUACACACCGCCCGUCGCUCCUACCGAUUGAGUGGUCCGGUGAGGCUUUGGGAUCUGAGCGGACAGAGCGUUUCGCUGUUUCUGCUCGGAAAACUCAGUCGAACCUUAUCAUUUAGAGGAAGGAGAAGUCGUAACA
rnacentral:rRNA from 1 species